rnacentral:rRNA from 1 species
GACGAACGCUGGCGGCGUGCCUAAUACAUGCAAGUCGAACGCACAGUUUAUACCGUAGCUUGCUACACCAUAGACUGUGAGUUGCGAACGGGUGAGUAACGCGUAGGUAACCUGCCUGGUAGCGGGGGAUAACUAUUGGAAACGAUAGCUAAUACCGCAUAAUAUUGAUUAUUGCAUGAUAAUUGAUUGAAAGAUGCUAUUGCAUCACUACCAGAUGGACCUGCGUUGUAUUAGCUAGUAGGUGAGGUAACGGCUCACCUAGGCGACGAUACAUAGCCGACCUGAGAGGGUGAGCGGCCACACUGGGACUGAGACACGGCCCAGACUCCUACGGGAGGCAGCAGUAGGGAAUCUUCGGCAAUGGACGAAAGUCUGACCGAGCAACGCCGCGUGAGUGAAGAAGGUUUUCGGAUCGUAAAGCUCGGUUGUAAGAGAAGAACGGGUGUGAGAGUGGAAAGUUCACACUGUGGCGGUAUCUUACCAGAAAGGGACGGCUAACUACGUG